rnacentral:rRNA from 1 species
CUCCUGAGAAGUCCUCGUGUUGCACCCC